UUUACUCAUACACCACAGCAAUACACGUUGAGAAUAUCUCAAUACUGGUCCUAAAAAUUGUCAUGGUGUCGCCGAUGAAUACGACAAAUAUGAAGUACUGGUCAUGGAUCGGAGCGUUUUCGCUGUCAUUCCUUUUCUGGGCUGAAUUAAUCUGGUACGUCUCUCGCUAAUUCUUCCAAAAUACUGCCGCCCGAUGGUGUAUCAACCAUCGGGCUUACUCCUGACA
rnacentral:sRNA from 22 species